rnacentral:rRNA from 1 species
GUGAACCUUUACUAUAGCUUGACACUGAACAUUGAGCCUUGAUGUGUAGGAUAGGUGGGAGGCUUUGAAGUGUGGACGCCAGUCUGCAUGGAGCCGACCUUGAAAUACCACCCUUUAAUGUUUGAUGUUCUAACGUGGACCCGUUACCCGGGUUGCGGACAGUGUCUGGUGGGUAGUUUGACUGGGGCGGUCUCCUCCUAAAGAGUAACGGAGGAGCACGAAGGUUGGCUAAUCCUGGUCGGACAUCAGGAGGUUAGUGCAAUGGCAUAAGCCAGCUUGACUGCGAGCGUGACGGCGCGAGCAGGUGCGAAAGCAGGUCAUAGUGAUCCGGUGGUUCUGAAUGGAAGGGCCAUCGCUCAACGGAUAAAAGGUACUCCGGGGAUAACAGGCUGAUACCGCCCAAGAGUUCAUAUCGACGGCGGUGUUUGGCACCUCGAUGUCGGCUCAUCACAUCCUGGGGCUGAAGUAGGUCCCAAGGGUAUGGCUGUUCGCCAUUUAAAGUGGUACGCGAGCUGGGUUUAGAACGUCGUGAGACAGUUCGGUCCCUAUCUGCCGUGGGCGCUGGAGAACUGAGGGGGGCUGCUCCUAGUACGAGAGGACCGGAGUGGACGCAUCACUGGUGUUCGGGUUGUCAUGCCAAUGGCACUGCCCGGUAGCUAAAUGCGGAAGAGAUAAGUGCUGAAAGCAUCUAAGCACGAAACUUGCCCCGAGAUGAGUUCUCCCUGAGACUUAGAGUCUCCUGAAGGAACGUUGAAGACGACGACGUUGAU